CCAAGUAUAAUAUUUAGAUCUGAAACCGGAUCCUAGUGGAUCCAAAACUGAUGCGGAUCCUGAUCUAAAUCCAAUGUACACUUUGUAUCCGAAUCCAAAUAUUAUGGAUCCGAUUGGAUACAGAUCUAGAUCCAAAUCCCAUAUAACUUGUUCGAAUCUGAAUCCAGAUCUUAGUGGAUCCGUACCCAAUCCGUCCCAUUCUCAGCCCUAGGCUAUAGAUUUUGCC
rnacentral:lncRNA from 1 species